UCCUCCUCACACACACCCUCCUCACACACAUCCUCCUCACAACAUCCUCCUCACACACAUCCUCCUCACACACAUCCUCCUCACAGUUAUCCUCCUCAUACACACCCUCCUCACACACAUCCUCCUCACAGUUAUCCUCCUCACAGUUAUCCUCCUCACACACACCCUCCUCACACACAUCAUCCUCACACACAUCCUCCUUACACACAUCCUCCUCACACACAUCAUCCUCACACACAUCCUCCUCACACACAUCCUCCUCACAGACAUCCUCCUCACACACAUCCUCCUCACACACAUCCCCCUCACACACAUCCUCCUCACAGUUAUUCUCCUCACAGACAUCCUCCUCACAUACACUCUCCUCACAGACAUCCUCCUCACACAUAUCCUCCUCACAGACAUCCUCCUCACACACAUCCUCCUCACACACAUCCUCUCUACACACAUCCUCCUCACACACAUCCUCCUCACAGUUAUCCUCCUCACAGACAUCCUCCUUACAGUUCUCCUCCUCAUACACAUCCUCCUCCUGCGGGCUUGAGA
rnacentral:lncRNA from 1 species